UACGUAGGGUGCGAGCGUGUCCGGAAUUAUUGGGCGUAAAGAGCUCGUAGGCGGUGUGUCACGUCGGCCGUGAAAACCUGCAGCUUAACUGUGGGCGUGCGGUCGAUACGGGCAUCACUGGAGUUCGGCAGGGGAGACUGGAAUUCCUGGUGUAGCGGUGAAAUGCGCAGAUAUCAGGAGGAACACCGGUGGCGAAGGCGGGUCUCUGGGCCGAUACUGACGCUGAGGAGCGAAAGCGUGGGGAGCAAACAGG
rnacentral:rRNA from 1 species